UUUUCUUUCAAAAACCAGGACAUUUCUAAGUGACCCCAAACCUUUGAAUGGUAGUGUAGGUGAUAUCAUUCCUGUAUUUGCAUCAUUCUAAUUUAUUCACUUGCUUUCAGGGCACACUGUCCAUCUUCCAGUUGUGUGAACAAUAUUAUUUAAGAGUCUCAAAGCCAGACAGUCUUGGUUUAAUUUCUGGGUUGAGGUCCUCAGAAAGGGGAACUGGGUAUGUUGUCUCACCUCUCCCCAGCUGUGAUCAUGAAAUCAGGCAAACAGUUGGUUUAGCAUUUUAUAGAUCAGUCGCACAUGAUCACUGUCUCUGGUAAGUCUCAUAACAUGUAUUAAAGUCUCACAGUUGUUAUAGUUGUACUAUAGGGUUUUUGUAAAUGUGAUGUUUAUAGGCAUACAUGUAUGUCUCUAGCUGUCCUUGUUUGUAGUUAGAGGUGAUAACGAAGAUAAUAAGAAGUAGCAAAGUGUAGACUCGACAGUAAGGCAUGCCCGUGUGAAAUGUACGAUGCCUCUUUAACUGGCGUUGAACACAAGUUGUUAGCGCAUCAUUUCCUAUGAAUUGACACGUUUGCGGUUUCUUUAAUGUUUAUGAGAGCAACAUAUUUCAGCCUUUUUUUCACAAACAAUUGUAGCCAAUAUAUGUUUUAUGUCACUCAAUCCUAGAAUAGAAUAAAUAUGUCAGUGCUGCUCAUGGUGGCCUUGCUCACUGUCCUUACCCUCACCCUGGAGUCUGACCACUGGACAGCAGGCCAGCCGGAAAAGUAAGAUAAGGAUCUUGCAUUGUAAAUACUCCAAUCCAAUGGUGUAAUGUAGAUCAAUGUAUACUUUUCAAUUCAAGACUACUUAUUUUAAACUUUUAUAGUGCAUGUCGAUUUUUGACUAUAAUCUUUUUGGACAAGUAUACUUGAGUGUGAUGUAUUGUUAUGUUGAAAUAUGAAAUAGUUUUGGGCAUUAGGAUACAGAAUCAUUCUAUCUCUCCCAGGUUCUGUACAUGGCAGUGUUUGAAGUUGACUCUGCAGUGGCCUGGGAGCUUCUGUUUGGUGAGUUUAACCACUUCUCCAUAGCACAUCACCCAUUCCUGUUAUUCUAACUCAAUCUAACUCUGCACAGGGUCUAAAGAAUUAAUCUCAAUGCAGAAUACCUCCAAACAUCCAGAACUGGACUACCCAUGGACUGUGGCCUUUGAAAGCUCAUACAUGUUGCGGCUCCAGGCCAAUAUUCCACUCUGACCUCAAGGAAAGAUGAAUGGAUCAAACAUGGCUCCUGUGCUGCUUGUGUGGAGGGCAUGAACUCUCCUUUGCAUUACUUCCAAAUAUGUCUGAAACUACGCGAGCGCUUCAAUAUUGACCGGUCAGCCCCACUGAUCACAUUCACACAUUUAAUCUGCCUGUUUCACCAUUACACAUCGUCAAACCUGUGUUGACAGCUUGCAUUUUUAUUCUGGCUGAGCUACCUGCUACCCAUUGUUCAGAGCCUUAGAGGAUGCAGGCAUCAAGGCCUCCUGUAACCAGUCUUAUCAGGUAGGUAAUACCCAUCACAUUGGGAAAGGAUUAAAAUACAGCUAUUGGCAUUGCAUUGUAGGGUUUACAGAAAUUCAAUUAUGAUUUUCCUGUUCCCUUAUUUGGAUGUACAGACUGAGACACUGCAUCCAAAUAAGGAUAUGAAGGCCAUAAACAUUGUAAUUCAAUAAUGUUGUAUUUUUUGCAGCAUUGGUUUUAGUAAGUUUCUUAUAAUAUAGAACCACUUUAGUGAACUUGUUUGGUUGAGAUCAGAAACAUUAGAUAAGUGAAACCCUGAGAACAUGGCAAACAAUUCCUAUUUAUGACAAAAAGGCAAAUACCUUUUAACAUAAAACAUUUUCAUGAGGAAGUAGGAUUAAACUUGAGGAAUUUCAGCUGAAUAAAUCUCUUACUGCAUUGUUCUGCCAUCUGGUCAGUGCAAUGAAGUCAACCAUGCUCUGGCCCCAGUCAUUGGAGAGAUGACCCUGGUGUCCAGAUUCAGUGUAUAAAUGAAAAGGUAAGCAUCCCUAGCCUGAAUGCCAGUCUGUCUGUGCUAUCAUUCCAAACUGUUUGGCUUGACAAGGUCAGCAAUGGAAUAGGUAAGAGCACAAACAAAUCUGUGAACAAGCUAAAGCAUCACCGUAGUAAUGUACCAAACCACACAUUAUCACCACUUGACUGUUGUCCAUUUGCCUUUGGUGUAAUCCAGCAAUAGCGUUGAUGCUUCAAAUAUAUUGGUUGUAGAGAAACAUUGUUUAUUUGUGGCUGUGUAAAUGGAAUACCCCAUCACUUCUCUCAGGGAUGAGAAGUGUUGGUCCAGGUGAAGAUCCCUCUGUCUCAAAACCUCACCCUUGGAUGUCAUCAUGAAGAGGACCAGGAAACUGAACCUCAACCUACCCAGCUCUGGCACACCUUAACCAAACGAUAAGCAAGUUGUUGAAUUGCAGGGCUCACAUCUUUGAGGUAGAUUACAUUAAGGCACUAAUUUAGUAUACAGUCACUUUAUGUUCUUUCAGUAUUUUUCUUCUGCAAAACAUGCUUUGAGAUUAAAAAUAAAUACAUUACAAAACCCUUGAA